CCCCUCUCUGGGUCGCACCUGGAGAGUUUCCAGUGCUCUACCAGUCUCGGCUAUGGGAGGGAGAGUCAAGCAGAGGCCUACCCAUUCCAUUCCUAACCUUGGCCAGUGGCUAGCGAGUGGCAGGCAAUCUGCUACAAGU
ensembl:snoRNA